rnacentral:misc_RNA from 1 species
GAUGAAGAACGUAGCGAAAUGCGAUAAGUAAUGUGUAUUGCAGAAUUCAGUGAAUCAUCGAAUCUUUGAACGCACAUUGCGCCCGCCAGUAUUCUGGCGGGCAUGCCUGUUCGAGCGUCAUUUCAACCAUCAAGCCCCAGGCUUGUGUUGGGGACCUGCGGCUGCCGCAGGCCCUGAAAACCAGUGGCGGGCUCGCUGUCACACCGGGCGUAGUAGAUUUUAUCUCGCUCAGGGCGUGCUGCGGGUUCCGGCCGUUAAAAAGCCUUUUUUACCCAAGGUUGACCUCGGAUCAGGUAGGAAGACCCGCUGAACUUAAGCAUAUCAAUAAGCGGAGGA